rnacentral:rRNA from 1 species
AACGAACGCUGGCGGCAUGCCUAACACAUGCAAGUCGAACGAAGGCUUCGGCCUUAGUGGCGCACGGGUGCGUAACGCGUGGGAAUCUGCCCUUUGGUUCGGAAUAACAGCUGGAAACGGCUGCUAAUACCGGAUGAUGACGAAAGUCCAAAGAUUUAUCGCCAGAGGAUGAGCCCGCGUUGGAUUAGGUAGUUGGUGGGGUAAAGGCCUACCAAGCCGACGAUCCAUAGCUGGUCUGAGAGGAUGAUCAGCCACACUGGGACUGAGACACGGCCCAGACUCCUAUGGGAGGCAGCAGUGGGGAAUAUUGGACAAUGGGCGCAAGCCUGAUCCAGCAAUGCCGCGUGAGUGAUGAAGGCCCUAGGGUUGUAAAGCUCUUUUACCCGGGAAGAUAAUGACUGUACCGGGAGAAUAAGCCCCGGCUAACUCCGUG